rnacentral:rRNA from 1 species
CGCCCAGACUCCUACGGGAGGCAGCAGUGGGGGAUAUUGCACAAUGGGGGGAACCCUGAUGCAGCGACGCCGCGUGGGUGAAGGAGCGUUUCGGCGCGUAAAGCCCUAUCGGCAGGGAAGAAGGAGGACGGUACCUGACUAAGAAGCCCCGGCUAACUACGUGCCAGCAGCCGCGGUAAUACGUAGGUCCCGAGCGUUGUCCGGAUUUAUUGGGCGUAAAGCGAGCGCAGGUGGUUUAUUAAGUCUGGUGUAAAAGGCAGUGGCUCAACCAUUGUAUGCAUUGGAAACUGGUAGACUUGAGUGCAGGAGAGGAGAGUGGAAUUCCAUGUGUAGCGGUGAAAUGCGUAGAUAUUAGGAGGAACACCAGUGGCGAAGGCGGCUUACUGGACUGUAACUGACGUUGAGGCUCGAAAGCGUGGGGAGCAAACAGGAUUAGAUACCCCCGUAA